UCGGCCUGAGUCGGACGAGGCUACCCGCUGAAUUUAAGCAUAUUACUAAGCGGAGGAAAAGAAACUAACGAGGAUUCCCUCAGUAA
rnacentral:ncRNA from 1 species